rnacentral:rRNA from 1 species
UACGAAGGGGCUAGCGUUGCUCGGAAUCACUGGGCGUAAAGGGUGCGUAGGCGGGUCUUUAAGUCAGGGGUGAAAUCCUGGAGCUCAACUCCAGAACUGCCUUUGAUACUGAAGAUCUUGAGUUCGGGAGAGGUGAGUGGAACUGCGAGUGUAGAGGUGAAAUUCGUAGAUAUUCGCAAGAACACCAGUGGCGAAGGCGCUCACUGGCCCGAUACUGACGCUGAGG